GAUGAACGCUAGCGACAGGCCUAACACAUGCAAGUCGAGGGGCAUCACAAGGAGUAAUCUGAGGUGGCGACCGGCGCACGGGUGAGUAACGGGUAUGCAACCUGGCUGUUAUUGCGGUAUAGCCUCCUGAAAGGGAGAUUAACCCCGCAUGGUAUUGAGAUAUCGCAUGAUAUUUCAUUUAAAUGACAAAGAUAACAGAUGGGCAUGCUUUCCAUUAGCUUGUUGGUAAGGUAACGGCUUACCAAGGCAACGAUGGAUAGGGGUUCUGAGAGGAAGGUCCCCCACACUGGUACUGAGACACGGACCAGACUCCUACGGGAGGCAGCAGUGAGGAAUAUUGGUCAAUGGGCGAGAGCCUGAACCAGCCAUGUCGCGUGCAGGAUUACGGCCCUAUGGGUUUUAAACUGCUUUUAUACGAGGGUAAAGGAUAUUACGAGUAGUAUUUUGCAAGUAUCGUAUGAAUAAGGAUCGGCUAACUCCGUGCCAGCCGCCGCCGUAAAAC
rnacentral:rRNA from 1 species